ACCCUCCAGAUCCCUUGCCCAUUAGAUCUAAAAACUGAUCUGAGUGGUUCUAACAGAAGGAAAAGCAAAAUUGAAACUGACUUCCAUUCUUUUCUGACACACAAGCUAGUUUCAAACAAAC